AUGGACCUCUGGUCUGGCUUCAUUGAAGUGAUCAUUAAAGCAUACCGAUGUAACAAAAGUUGGGGAGGUGGGUUCUCAUCGGAGGAUCUGAGGAUGUGCGGCCAUAGCUGCCGAAUCAGUUUGAACCCUACCUUCCCAGCCUCGUUCCCAAAUCUACUUCGUGAUUUUGCAAAGCUGGCCCAUCUAUUAAUCAGUCAUUUCAAAGUUGAAAGGAAGCACGAAGCGUACAUGAGAUUUCUCUACAGGAGCAUGAUAAAGCCUGGAGCAAGUGAAACGCCAACUCCGGAUGCCCAGGAGGCCCACAUCAAGUUCAUAAGGAAUCAUCCUGCCCUGCGCUCACUUCGUCAGAAAAGACUCUUCCUUGAAGACGUCAUCAAAGCUUUCAGAUCAAUGGGACAUGCUGAAAAGAGACGAUUUGCAAAAACCUUGCAAAAGAUAAAGGCUGGACCAGAUUGGAGGCUGAUUGCUCAGCGGAAUGCUAGCUUCUCUGGGGUGUUGUUCUUCAGAAGCGUGAAGCAUGUGUUUGUAUAUCGGUCAAGUCAAGAGGACCUGUUCCGUUUUAUUCGGAACUUUUUUGCUCACGGGUCGGACGCUGAAGGUGGCGAGGAACUUAUUGGUAACAUGGAGGACAUUGACUGUAUUGAUAUGGAGUUGAUGCCAACAUUUGUUAUACAGCUAUUCCAUCAAAUGAUAGUGAAUUCAAACAUGUCUGGGAAGUUCGCAUAUGCAUGGAAGCAUUACGGGUUGAUUGAAUGA
rnacentral:rRNA from 1 species